UACAGAGGUCCCAAGCGUUGUUCGGAUUCACUCGGCGUAAAGGGUGCGUAGGCGGCGCGGUAAGUCGGGUGUGAAAUCUCGGAGCUUAACUCCGAAACUGCAUUCGAUACUGCCGUGCUUGAGGACUGGAGAGGAGACUGGAAUUUACGGUGUAGCGGUGAAAUGCGUAGAUAUCGUAAGGAAGACCAGUGGCGAAGGCGGGUCUCUGGACAGUUCCUGACGCUGAGGCACGAAGGUCAGGGGAGCAAACGGG
rnacentral:rRNA from 1 species